AAGCAAUAAUCUUGCUCAACCUGUAAAAUAAAAAUAUGAAGGUUACUGACAAUGCAGUUUUUAUCUCUUUCACAGUAAUGGUUUCAGGCAUAAAGCCGUAAUGGAUUCAAGCUUCAAGCAAACCUGUCCUCUCUCCUUCUCAUGUCUGGAGAAAUAGGUUAUGGCUUGCUAAUACAAACCCAACUCAGCAGCGACUCAAAUUUGUUGCUACAGAAUAAUACUGGCAGGAGAACAAACGGAUCACAUGAAUAAAUUUAAGCUGAUAAAUAGGAGAUAUUUUCUGGCCAUCUGGAAUAGCAGUCAGACUAUAGAAGGUUGUGGAACAGUCUUCAGAAGAACAGUGGAAUGAAAUGGCUGAAUGUUUUUGAAGAUGAAGCUGGAUAAACUUCUCUACGUGGUUGUUCUGGAUGAUUGUCUUCUACAACGUGGGGCUGAAAUACAAAAAGUUGAUGCUGUUGUAAGCAGUCCUUUGUGCAAUUUGAGGGAAUGCAAUGUCAAUCCAUGAGGAUGAACAUCGGUGUUACGGAAUGAGGAUUGUGAAUGUCGAGGCCAAGAACAGGAUGGACAUGGAUCAUUUCUCACCAACCAGAAGCAAAUUAUUGCCCACUGGAAGCUGGCUCUAUUGCACACAACAAGAAGCAUCCACUGACACUGGUGCAAACAGGCAGCAAAUCUUAGCAGAGAAUUUUCUUUAAGGAAUAUGUUUAGAUAUUAUUUUGCAACUGCUUUCUAUUGCUUGGGCUGUUGUCUCCUAAAUGCAAUUGACAACUGGAUUAACGCUAGCAGAGCAAGCAGAAGUCUAUGUUAUCACUUCAGCUAACACUGUAAGAAAAACAAUUUCCCAAGAUCAUGGCACCUAGCACUUUUUCCCAGUAUCAAUACUUCUGUGGCAAUGAAAGUUUUCAAAGGCAGCCUUGAUAUAGAAGUGACAGAACAUGGCUGCCUCAUCUGCAUCUUCUGCUGAAAAGAUAUUUGAAACAAAAAGAAAAAAUAAAUGUCAUUUACUGGGCUGGUGAGAGACUGGAGGGCUGUACUGAAUUCAGUGGAAUUGUGGUAAUUGGCAUUUUCCACUGGUCCACCCCAAGGUGAAUACUCGCUUAUUGGUUUUGAUGCAUGAAUCCUUCACCAAAAUGGAUUUAACAAUUGGACAAAGAGAAUCAUUGAGACUUGAUCCACCAGCAGCUGCUGAACAUUGCUCUGAAUACAACCUUCUGCACAGGAACUCUUAACCUGAUGGUUAGUGAAAUUCAGAGUACUGGCUGGCAAUAAGAUGCUUAGCAGUCGUGCUUGUUGUAAAGCUGGAUGUUAUUUAUUCAGAAAGCUUGAUAUUUGAUUCAGAAAUCUGCUAGAUCAUUAAAUGUGCUUCAAAUAUUGUGGGUUGUUGGUAAUACUGUCAUAGAAAUUGAAGUUGUAAAAUGCUACGGAAUCAUGUGGUUUCCUGACCUCCUGCUUAUCACAGUCCAUUACUUCUAAUAAGGAACUUCAAAAGUUUGUGGUAGUCCAAAAUGUUUUUGUUCCUUCUCCUCCAGUUUGAUGUUUGCGGUGGGAGAAAAAAGAUUGUGUAAUGUUUGCUCGUGCCCUAGGUUUACUUAUGUUGCUUACCAUCUGCUUAUGUUUUCUCCAGUUUCCAGAACCCUUAAUCUUAGUGCAGAAGUGGGAGUGAAAAUUCAAGGUGUCCUAUGUGGGAGCUCAUCGGCUGCUAAGAGCUCCAGAAAUGACAAAAGCUGUCAGUCUUCCAGAUGCAUCCCCUUUUGAAUUGGUGACAGUAAUAAUUCCACCCCUAAGUCUUCGGUAAUGCAUUAGCAUUAACUGUAAUUUUUGCCUUUAGACAGUCUCUACAGUACAGCAUGACAGUUCCUACCCUGUAAUUGUAAGAUCCUCAUUAAUCAAAAAGAAUAUUAUGACAUUGUGAGCUCACAAGAAAGACAAUUAAUGACUGACAUAAUAAAGGCCUAAAUUGUGCUGCUUUGAUGAUUAGAGGUGCCUUUUUUUUUUUUUUCCUUGUGAAAAUAGGAUUUACCAGCUGUAAGAAAAAAUGCUGUAUAAUAAAAGCAAAGAGUGUUCAGAGGCAAGCAACAACAACUCUUAUCUAGAACAGGCCUUUAUUUCAAAAGAAAAUUAAAAUUUCAAAGCCAUGUCAGCAGUGCUUUUCAUUGAUAAGCCUGAAUUUAAAUCAGGAUCUUAAAGAAAAACCUGUAUGUAAGAAACACAUUGGGGUAGCACUGUGUUUAUUGAUUUGCUGUUACCCGUUAAAAGUACAGAAAUAUAUAUAUGAUUUUGGCUAGCCUCAAAAGUGUGUUUUGGCAUUUAUGAAAUGAUUAAUGCUCAAGCACAUCUCCUAAAUUGAAUGCAAUUAUAUGUAUUCUCCUUUGUUCAUAAGAAACCAGACACAGUGAAUGAUAAAUUAAGGGGAGAGGAAAAAAACGCUUGAUCCAAGAUUCUUUCAUCAAAGGUUUGUAGGCAAAACCACUGAGUUGCUAGCACAAACCUGGAAGGUUUGAACCUUCCCUCAGUAGGUUCAAGCAAAUCACUGGUUUAAGCACUGGUUUGAAUGAAAUCAGGACAGCACUGUCUGUGCCUAUGUGCUGUGAGGGAUGAACUAGGAGCUCUCUAGAAGACCCCAAAGCACAGGGGGAUAAAGGUAUGCAGAGUAGGCAGUGUAAUCCUGAUGGAGGCCCAUGCACUUUGAUGCACUGUGACUAACAGGAAAACAAGUUAAAUCAAUGUUUUCUAUCUGGGUAUUCCUUCCUUCAGAACAGAAUGCUUGAUGCACUUGUGAUCCAAGUAACUAAUAAGCUAAAUGAGUAUUUAUGACUCUGAGAAUCCCCAAAAAUGACUCCUGAGCUGGGCUGCUGUGCAGUAGUUAAGCAAUUUCUACCAGGCACUUUUUCUGUAGUUAUUUAAAUACAUUUUUAAAUAUAGUCCUAGCUGUUAAUGCAGUCAGAUUACUUCUAAGUGUGAAAUUACUCCCUUUCUUAUCUGGACAAAAGUUAGUUGAGAAAUGAGAAAAAAAAUUCUUUUGGAUUAUUACCCAAAUCACCAUCUUUUCUCAAGAUAACAUUUUUAGUACACAGACCCAAGGUUCACAGCCUUCGUCUCCUUGAGACUGUGAUGUGUAGGAUGAUCAAAAUCAAUUGUUGUGUAAAAUGAUAACCUUUGUUAAAAAAUGCUUCUUGAAAUAAUGCCCAUUCCUUCCUUUUGUUGUUGUUGUUGUUUUGCUUUGUAUCUAUCAUUUAAAACAAGUGCUUUUACGUGUUUAUUUCAGAACUGACCACAUGGUAAUUCAUGAAAUCCUUGUUUUGUUUAUGUUUCUUCUGAGCACAAGGCCAGACUGGUGCUGACUAGAUAUAUUCUACCCCAAAAUUCAUUUAGCAUGGAUGACAAGUCUUCAGAUGUUUAGUCCUCUCCGUCUAUUCCUAUGGGCAGGCACUACUUUUAACAAAGAUGUUGCUUUUAUGUCCCUCUCCAAAUGAAAUUCAGUGACACUUGUAAGUAUAUCAAAUCCUGAUGUCUUUGUAGCUACCAUCAAGAAAUAUCCUCAAUAUCUAAUUAGCAUUUAUUUAUAUUUCAGAUUCUUAUGCUUAUUUCUUGUGUUGCCCCUGUUUUUAGGACUGGACCAUGGUUAGUGAACUUAAGUCUCAGCUAUUUUUCUACUUUAAAUAUCACUUCCUUCUUUUGAGAGGACUCCAGAAGUGCACAGCAUUUAGGCUGUGGGACUUCUUAUUUCAACAAUCAUAUACAGACAGCAUUAAAACACGGUGAUUCAGAUGGUUCCCACGGUAUAAGGACAAAAGUACAGGGAACGGAGACUUACUUCUGAGAAGCUAAAAAGUUUUCUGUACAAGUCUCAGUCCCUGAGGAUUUUAUAAAAUUGUACCAAUCCUAGAAAAUCCUGAGAGAGAGUUUUAUGACGAGUUCUUGAUUUUGUUUUUCCCAUUUCUACUCUUUAGAAGCAACUGCUGCAUACCAUUGCACUUAUAGAAUCAUAGAAUUGUUUGAGUUGGAAGGGAUCUUUAAAGGUCAUUUAGUCCAAUUCCCCUGCAAUGAACAGAGAUAUCCUCAGCUAGAUCAGGGUGCUCAGAGCCUGAUCCAGCCUGAUUUGGAUGCCUCCAGGGAUGGAGCAUCCACCACAUCUAGGGGCACCUCUUGAAGUGUCAGAGAAAGUAAAAUUCAAAGAUGGUCCUUGUAUGGGAACUGCUGAUUCACGGCCUGAACCUCUGAUUGAUCACCUGAGGCGAGCACUGAGUCAGCCACAGGAGCACAGGUGAAGGCAAUUCAGCUGUGUGCCGGAAGGGGGGGAGCCUGGCUGCACCUCUCCUAGACCUAUUUAAGAGCUGGCUGCCAGCGGGAAAGGAUCUCUGCUGGACAUCCCUUCUUCUGGUGUUUUUUUGUGGGUGAGCCUAGCAUAUGGGAAACCCUGGUAUGGCAUGCAUUCCAGAAAUAGAUGAUUUGACUGAUCUGUCCUUCCACUAUAAUUCUGAAAAGGAGCAAGGUAAA